GCUGCACGGGUGGAUGAGUGGCGAACGGGUGAGUAACACGUGAGUAACCUGCCCCUGACUUCGGGAUAAGCCCGGGAAACUGGGUCUAAUACCGGAUACGACUGCCGGACGCAUGUCUGGUGGUGGAAAGUUUUUUCGGUUGGGGAUGGGCUCGCGGCCUAUCAGUUUGUUGGUGAGGUAAUGGCUCACCAAGACGACGACGGGUAGCCGGCCUGAGAGGGCGACCGGCCACACUGGGACUGAGACACGGCCCAGGCUCCUACGGGAGGCAGCAGUGGGGAAUAUUGCACAAUGGGGGAAACCCUGAUGCAGCGACGCAGCGUGCGGGAUGACGGCCUUCGGGUUGUAAACCGCUUUCAGCAGGGAAGAAGCGCAAGUGACGGUACCUGCAGAAGAAGUACCGGCUAACUACGUGCCAGCAGCCGCGGUAAUACGUAGGGUACGAGCGUUGUCCGGAAUUAUUGGGCGUAAAGAGCUCGUAGGUGGUUGGUCACGUCUGCUGUGGAAACGCAACGCUUAACGUUGCGCGUGCAGUGGGUACGGGCUGACUAGAGUGCAGUAGGGGAGUCUGGAAUUCCUGGUGUAGCGGUGAAAUGCGCAGAUAUCAGGAGGAACACCGGUGGCGAAGGCGGGACUCUGGGCUGUAACUGACACUGAGGGGCGAAAGCAUGGGGAGCGAACAGGAUUAGAUACCCUGGUAGUCCAUGCCGUAAACGUUGGGCACUAGGUGUGGGGGGCAUUCCACGUUCUCCGCGCCGUAGCUAACGCAUUAAGUGCCCCGCCUGGGGAGUACGGUCGCAAGGCUAAAACUCAAAGGAAUUGACGGGGGCCCGCACAAGCGGCGGAGCAUGCGGAUUAAUUCGAUGCAACGCGAAGAACCUUACCAAGGCUUGACAUACACCGGACCGUCCUGGAAACAGGUCUUCUUCUUUGAAGCUGGUGUACAGGUGGUGCAUGGUUGUCGUCAGCUCGUGUCCUGAAAUGUUGGGUUAAGUCCCGCAAC
rnacentral:rRNA from 1 species